rnacentral:tRNA from 2 species
AAUUAGAAAGCGAAGAAUUGCAUUUAGUUUCGACCUAAACUUUGGUUAACCUAUAACCUCUAAUUA